CUAAUUGCAAAAAUUAAGAAAGUUUUUGAAGUCAAAUUAUAAUUAUUAGAAAAGAUAGGGGUCAAAAUUGAAUAAAAGAUAAAGUUUAGGGACCAAAUUAUAAUUAAAAUAAGGACCUAAUUGAAAUAAAUUUAAAAUAUUUAAGGCUACAGUGAAAUUAUUCAAAAGAUCAAGGACUAAACUGAAAAUUCAUUUCUGGUCUAACGGGAAAUGGGCUUUAGGGCCAAAUCCACUUUGGCCCAAUGAAUUAGGAGCAGGCCAAAUGGUGGGUUAAAGCACCAAGCCCAAACAAAAGUCAAGUUUUAGCCCAGUUUUUAGCCCAAAAACACAAAAAAUAGUGUCCAAAUGACUUAAGAAAGAUCAAACAUACCAACAAAAUUAGAAAAUAAAAGAUCUAAGAAUAACUAAGAAACUUAUGAAAAUUCCGACGGGUUGACCCACCGGAAACAGAAAAAAUUGUGGCCAACAUGGUCGGAAUUCUCAGUAGAAAAUUUUUCCAGGGGCUUUUUAGCUCAACAAUUUACAUCUACCAACUCCUUUCAUCAUUCUAAACAUGUUUAUAUCAUCAAAAUCACUUUAAAAGCAUUGUAUUUUUCAGAAAAAAAAAGAAACAAAGUUUAAGAAAAAAUAAAAAAAUAUAUAUAUAAAAAAAAGAAACAACACCCACAUAUCAACUUUCUACUUUUCAUCAAGAAACUCAACAAAACUUCAUAAAAGUUUAUACCAAUGCCCUACAUGGAUCUAAAAGGGAAAGAAAUAUGACAAAUCCCAAACCAAAAACAUUUCAAAGGAAUUGCCUUUGUCAAACUAAAAAAUAUGAAGAAUCAAAUUUCAAAAACUAGACAAAUAUCAUAUGAAAGUGAGAAAAAAUUAUCAAGUAAAGUUACCUACAACUCCUUGGAAGAUUUCAAGUCAAAAUAAACCAUGAGAGACCACCGGAGUUCAAGAUUCAUGAAAUGUUUUCUCUUUGAAAUGAAGAUUUUCGAAAACUAGGGUUGAUUUUCUCCCAAUUUUGACACCAAAUUUGGCAGCCUUAAAGCUGUUUUCUAAUGAAACUUUCAAAACAAAAGUUUUCUACUGCAUCUAUAGAUUAUCCAAAAAAACAAGAAUCAAUCAAAAAGGGGUCAAAAUAAAGGAGAAAAGUGGGCACGAACAGGGCUGCUUGGUUAGACCUGGUUCAAAAUUUGCAGAAAUUUUUUUUUUCUCUUUCCUUGCCUUUUCUCUCUCUCUCUCUCUCUCUCUCUCUCACCCUAAAGCUGCAUUUUUUUUUGGUUGUAUGAAGCCAAGAAACCCUAAACCUAAGAUGAAGGGUUGAGAUUUAUUUUUUGAAAGUGAUGAUGUGUUGCUUUUGAAACCUUUUGAUCAAUUUGAUUAGCUAUCCAAAGAUAAGAUUUGGGAAGGGUGUGACGAUCCCACCUUCUCCUAGGGCAUACCUUAGAAGUUAGCGGAUCGCCUGCCUGGCUCUCGCCAGGACUCACUCACUCACAUUAACUUCAGAAAUAACAAUUCUCAUUAAUCAUCCAAACAUCCACUCUUAAUACUUUUUAGUAAGACAAAAGCUUUAUCUACUACAAAUUACAAAAGUGACUUGUCCAAACAUUCGUACUUAAGUACAUCACCAACUAGUGUGAAAUAGAAAUCUAUCCGUGAAUGGAUACAAAAUGCAAGUCUUAUCAUCAAUAUAUAAUGCUAGACCACUCAAAACACUUUAACGCUAACCGAUCAUCCUUCAAACUUCAACCCCUAUAAGGAAAACAAAGCUAAAAGGGUGAGCUUACGCCCGUGAGGUUUCCAUGCAAGCAACAGUCAAUAAGCACUCAAAUCAGUACAAUUAAGCAAGUAGUGCACAUUUCACUGUACAAUCACUUUCAUUAGCAAUUCAGAAAACACUUCACUGAACAAUCACUUUUAAAAGGAUACGGUGCUCGCAUUAGAGCCACUUCAAUGCACUACACACUCCGCCGAACUCCUCCUUAUAACCUCCAAAACAAUAAACACUUCCCUCACUUGGAUGGCCAUAUCAAUAUCAGUAAUCUACUACUCCGUGGUAAUACUCGAGCAUACCAAAACACUUACCCAAAACUACCGUUCUACCCGAUCAAGCCCUUUGCUGGCUCGAAUAGUCCGUUGAAUAGAGGGUUUUGGGGCCCAGUUCAGCCGGCGUGAUAAAGUACACGCACGGCUUACAGUCAUGCACACUUACAAUAUCACUUGAUCACUUACAAUAUCACUUGAUCAAUUAUCAACCUUCAAGCUCAACUAAGCCAAGUGCGAUAAAGUACACUCUCGACUUAGAAGGCGAGGGACAAUUGAGAUACACUUCCAAUGAAUCACUUAGAAAUAUUUCAUAAUAAGCACAUUUGCCAUAUAAUUGCACUUAGGUACACAUAAGCAGUUUAACACAUAAAUUCGGAAAACACUCACCAAUUAUCCAAAUAAUUUACUCUCGAGCCUCGAGUUUGUUUCCUGGCUCACAGCUAUUUCUUGGGACAAGUUAAUAAUUUCAAGGUAAAUAUAUAAUCUGUAGAUGCUCAUUUAUCAUUCUUACUUUAUUAUUUAAACUAUUAAAAUCAAGUUUGACCUUGAAAUACAAAUAUAUUCUUUAUUUACUAUUUAUCCUACAUUUUAUUUUGAAACUUAUUAAUUUUAUUAUUUAAACCAAGAAUUAUACAUAGGUUCUAAGGUUAUAAUCUUAUAGGUAUUUAAAUUAACUGUAACUUAUUUUCCACUCAAAAUCCUAAGAAGCAAGCUUAGAAACACUCCAUUGGUUCUCCUUUUAACUAGCCAAGGCCUAAGUUGUGUGCACUUUAAAUUUUAUUUCACUACACUAGCCUCUCAAAAUUUUAUAGUCUUUAAAAUAUUUGUGAAGACAAUAUUAAGUAAUUAGAAACCAAUUUAAGUAAUUAGGAGCCAUUUCAUGUAUACAGCCAUAACAAAUUACCUUAGAGUUUCUAAAACAUCAAAUAAGUUUUAACUCAUUGCUAUACAACCCAUCUACAUAAAUUCAGCAAUAAUACUUCAAGUUUUCAUCCUAUAACUUCAUUUUUCGAUUGAUUAAAUCACCAACUACUUAACUUACAUUUAAUCUAAUAUGAAUUAGGAUAAGAAACAUUUAAUUGUAACCAAUGUUUUGUGCAAACUAUGCACACAAAUCAGUCUUAAUUAUUACAGCUUUUAAGCAAUCCCUUAGCUAUGUAUAUAUCGGUCCAAUGUUUGCCAUUUCACUCAAGUUCCUCCUUCCAAGUUUUUUUAUUCCAACUAGACAUGUUAACCACGUUUAUUAAACUACAAAUGAGCCUUGUACAGAACACCAAAUUUUAAUAUCAUAUAAAACACUUGAGCAGUUAAAACUUCAAAGGAAAAGCUGAUGAGAACUUGUUUCUUCCUUCGGACAUGAUGGAUUUUGGACAGCAAUCAGUUUUUAAGCAAGAAUUUCUCCAUUCAUUACUUCAUUAUAUACUCGAAUCUAACAUGCAUGCUAAGAUUAGAAUAUUAUACCAUGGAUUAAGUCUCAACGUAGGUGUUUGGAACCCAAAAAUCUAUAAGGAAACCUGGAAAUUUUCCUAGUUCUUCUCUCGGUCAGCUAAGCAGAAUUUUCACUCAAGUUAUCAACUCCACUCCAGGUUCUCAGGUAAGACAAGGUGAGAACAUAUAGUUCGAGCCUCUGGUAAAAAAUUACUCCAUGCAUUCGAUUAAUAACCGCAUGAUCAGUUUUUUUUUUUUUUUUCUCUCGGAUAGAGCUGAAAAGAUUUCAGCAGAUAACCUCCCUAAACAGGUUCUCCCUUCGGCUGCACUCUUCUUUUCUUUCGUAAGUAAAAUCCAGCAUACCACAGUGAUUAUUCAAGUAUAAUCAAGUGUACUAGAUGAUUAGGGAGUUAUUACAGAAAGUUUAUCAAGUUUAUGGCUGCAACAACAACUCUUGGUUCCUUCAUUGCUGUCCGACAAUAUCCUCCUCAAAAUGGAACUCUACCUUAGCUAGGAACUCAUUUUCUUUGCUAAAUUCCAAUAUGCAAUCCGUAUAUGCGGUUGUAUUCAGGGAAUGAAAGGGAGGUUACAAGAGUCUUACCCUUUUCUGUUACGUUUUUAAUAGUUGCAGCUUCGGUCUCUCUAAUUCUUGCACCAGCUCUCUCUCCCCUUUUUUUUUCCAGGCUUGGCUCGCGGUAUUGAGGCAACUAGCUGAAGAAGUGAAGCGAACCAGUGUCUCUCUCUCCCACUCACUCUCUCGGAUGCAGACUGGAAGCAGUGAAAACCAGAAAUGUUUCUCACCCGGUGGUGUUUUGGAAUGAAUGGUUAUGACCGAAACUCUCUCUCUCGGUUUGGUUUCCAAUGCUUGGUUGGUAAGAAGAGCAUUUGAACAUAUUUCCUUCACUCCACCGACCACUCAAGCUUCUUCAUUCGGUGCUGAUCAAUCCAAUGUUCACCUCAUUCGGUCACUGCAUACUCAGCAGAUUCCUUCGGGGCAACUGUCCAGACGAGAGCUACCCACCGUCCCAAGUCAGCAGCCAAAUUCCAUUUAUUUCCUCUCCACCGUUUGGUCUAAUAGCUAGUUAGUUGACCUCUAAUUGAUUUUAAUUCCUCAAGCAUCCAGUUUGUUUGAUAAAUUUCUAAUGAUUGGGUCUUGGUAGCAUGGUAUUUAAUCUGAAAUUCG
rnacentral:lncRNA from 1 species